rnacentral:rRNA from 1 species
GAUGAACGCUGGCGGCGUGCUUAACACAUGCAAGUCGAACGGAAAGGCCAGUGCUUGCACUGGUACUCGAGUGGCGAACGGGUGAGUAACACGUGGGUGAUCUGCCCUGCACUUCGGGAUAAGCCUGGGAAACUGGGUCUAAUACCGGAUAGGACAAUGGUUUGGAUGCCGUUGUGGAAAGUUUUUUCGGUGUGGGAUGAGUUCGCGGCCUAUCAGCUUGUUGGUGGGGUAAUGGCCUACCAAGGCGUCGACGGGUAGCCGGCCUGGGAGGGUGUACGGCCACAGUGGGACUGAGAUACGGCCCAGACUCCUACGGGAGGCAGCAGUGGGGAAUAUUGCACAAGGGGCGCAAGCCUGAUGCAGCGACGCCGCGUGGGGGAGGACGGCCUUCGGGUUGUAAACUCCUUUCGCUAGGGACGAAGCGUAUUUGUGACGGUACCUGGAGAAGAAGCACCGGCUAACUACGU